rnacentral:rRNA from 1 species
CCUACGGGGGGCUGCAGUGAGGAAUAUUGGUCAAUGGACGAGAGUCUGAACCAGCCAAGUAGCGUGAAGGAUGACUGCCCUAUGGGUUGUAAACUUCUUUUAUAUGGGAAUAAAAUGUUCCACGUGUGGGAUUUUGUAUGUACCAUAUGAAUAAGGAUCGGCUAACUCCGUGCCAGCAGCCGCGGUAAUACGGAGGAUCCGAGCGUUAUCCGGAUUUAUUGGGUUUAAAGGGAGCGUAUGUGUAUUGUUAAGUCAGUUGUGAAAGUUUGCGGCUCAACCGUAAAAUUGCAGUUGAAACUGGCAGUCUUGAGUACAGUAGAGGUGGGCGGAAUUCGUGGUGUAGCGGUGAAAUGCUUAGAUAUCACGAAGAACUCCGAUUGCGAAGGCAGUUCACUGGACUGCAACUGACACUGAGGCUCGAAAGUGUGGGUAUCAAACAGGAUUAGAUACCCCUUGUAGUC